GCGGAGGGAUCAUUACCGAGUUUACAACUCCCAAACCCAAUGUGAACGUUACCAAACUGUUGCCUCGGCGGGAUCUCUGCCCCGGGCGCGUCGCAGCCCCGGACCAAGGCGCCCGCCGGAGGACCAACCAAAACUCUUAUUGUAUACCCCCUCGCGGGUUUUUUACUAUCUGAGCCAUCUCGGCGCCCCUCGUGGGCGUUUCGAAAAUGAAUCAAAACUUUCAACAACGGAUCUCUUGGUUCUGGCAUCGAUGAAGAACGCAGCGAAAUGCGAUAAGUAAUGUGAAUUGCAGAAUUCAGUGAAUCAUCGAAUCUUUGAACGCACAUUGCGCCCGCCAGUAUUCUGGCGGGCAUGCCUGUCCGAGCGUCAUUUCAACCCUCGAACCCCUCCGGGGGGUCGGCGUUGGGGAUCGGCCCUUUACGGGGCCGGCCCCGAAAUACAGUGGCGGUCUCGCCGCAGCCUCUCCUGCGCAGUAGUUUGCACACUCGCAUCGGGAGCGCGGCGCGUCCACAGCCGUUAAACACCCCAAACUUCUGAAAUGUUGACCU
rnacentral:rRNA from 1 species